rnacentral:lncRNA from 1 species
ACAGGAGAAGGCAGUGACCUCCUGUGGGGCAAUUUCUCUGGCUUCCUCAUGUGGAAGGCUCAGCUUUGUGAAAACAAGAAAUAGAUUUGCAAACUGGACAAGUGUGACUUCAGUCCUGAUAUGGUUUGGCUGUGUCCCCACCCAAAGCUCACCUUGAAUUGUAAUAAUCCCCAUGUGUCAAGACCGGGGCCAGGUAGAGAUACUCGAAUCAUGGGGAUGGUUCCCCAUACUGUUCUGGUGAUGGUGAAUAAGUCUCAUGAGAUCUGAUGGCUUUAUAAAUGGGAGUUCCUCUGCAAGGGCUCUAUCUCUUGCCUGCCUCCAUGUAAGACGUGAUUUUGCCCCUCAUUCACCUUCCACCAUAAUGGUGAGGCCUUCCCAGCCAUGUGGAACUUUGAGUCCAUUAAACCUCUUUCCUUUAUAAAUUACCCCGUCUUGUAUGUCUUUAUCAGCAGCAUGAGAACAGACUGAUACAAGCCCUCUCCAGCAGGAGACCAGAGGCAAGAGGAAUUUGCUUCCUGUGGUUGACAGCCUCAAGAAUGUCAGACACUAUAUAAACCUGCAGGGUGCCCUACUUCCAAGUCCCUACAGACAUGGGCCUUUUAAAAGUUGCACAGUGGUGAGAAUGUCCAGUUGGAAAGCCUCGUUAGCACAGUGCAGCCCGUCCAUGGCUGAAGUCCUGGGCUUAUCCUGGACCUGCCCUCAUCCUGGACCUGCCCUCCCACGUCCUCCCUCCUGGCUAGCGGCAGCUCCAGCCUUCCAGUCAGGCCCACACCUCACAGUCCCGGGCUUGUCUCUGCAUCCUCUAUCCAGCCCAUCACAGGUCCUGCUGCUUUGCCUUCAGAGAGUGUCCAAGAGUUGACCACUUGUCACCACCCCCACCACUGCCCCCAUCCAAGCCACCAACAUGGUCCUUUUAGAAUGCAAGCCAGGUGCAGUGGCUUAUGCCUGUAAUCCCAGCACUUUGGGAAGCCAAGGUGGGCAGAUCACUUGAGGCUAGGAGUCCAAGAGCAGCCUGGCCAACAUGGUGAACCCCAUCUCUACUAAAAAUACAAAAAUUAGCUGGGCAUGUUGGUAGGCACCUGUUAUCCCAGCUAUUUGGAAGGCUGAGGCAGGAGAAUCGCUUGAACCCAGCUGCAGUGAGCCAAGAUUGCACCAUUGCACGCCAGCCUGGGCAACAAGAGCGAAACUCUGUCUCAAAACAAAACAAAACAAAACAAAACGCCAGGCGCAGUGGCUCACGCCUGUAAUCCCAGCACUUUGGGAGGCCGAGGCAGGUGGAUCACAAGGUCAGGAGAUCAAGACCAUCCUGACCAACAUGGAGAAACCCCAUCUCUACUAAAAAUACAAAAUUAGCUGGGCGUGGUGGCGCAUGCCUGUAAUCCCAGCUACUCAGGAAGCUGAGGCAGGAGAAUUGUUUGAACCUGGGAGGCAGAGGUUGUGGUGAGCUGAGAUCGCGUCACUGCACUCCAGCCUGGGCGACAGAGGGAGACUCCGUCUCAAAAAAAAAAAGAAUAUAAGGCAGACCUUGCCCGGCUCUGACCAACACCCUCCAGGGGCUCCCAUCUCAUUCAGCCAGAACUGGAGUCCUCAGAAUGACUUGCUAAGCCUGCACAUCUGACCCCAGCCACCUUCUGACCUCAUUGUCUUCUUCUCUCCCUCCCCCACCCUCUCUGCUCAGCCACUCUCUGCCUCAGGGAGUUCGGGACAGGAGUGUGCAUGGUACUGGGCGGCCCAUGGGGGCUCCUGGCCUCUUGGUUCAGGAGCAUCCCUAGAACGACCUCCCAGGCACGAGGAAGGCC